UCCCAUGUGGCUCAGUUGGUAGAGCAUGGUGUUUGCAACGCUAGGGUUGUGGGUUUGAUUCCCAUGGGGGAC
rnacentral:tRNA from 1 species